GCCGCCGGCCUCCCAUCCUGCACAAAUAGAAUGAGCGUCCCUUGGCCACCGCCGCUCCGUCGGAGAUGGCACUCCCCAUGGCGGACGGCUCCUCGCAGGAAUUCAUGGCCGCCACCGCCGCUCUGCCGGAGACGGCGUUCAGAUCUAACUUAAUUUCUCGUGUGCUUUGUUUCUAUAUCGAUCCAAUCGAAUCCGGUUAAGUCUUCGACCGAGCAAGCCGGAUGGGGAGAAAGCGCACAGACGCCUCUUUGGCGGCGCCGCUCGACGCCCGCAAGUGCCGCCGGCCGGAGCAGGCAAGCGGCGGUUGGGCAUCUCUCGCCACCGACAUAGUCGGCCUCGUCACCGGCCGACUCCUCGACGACAUUGACAUCGCGGGCUACAUCUUCUUCCACGCUGUCUGCUCGGCCUGGCGUGCCUACACGCCCCCUCCGGCCUGGAGACAUCAAGCCAGGCGAUAGAUCGAUCCCUAUGCACGUAGGCAAGCUACAGGUAGGUGUGCUGCUCGGCAGGCGGCGGCUCCUCCAAUUAGGCCCAGGAAUCAGCCAUUCAGGUCGCCAGUCCCAUCUUCUCUAGGUACGCCUGUGGUCGCUGCCUUAAAUUUUUCUGUAGAAUCAACUCGUCCAGACGGUAUUUCCUAAAUUGUUCUCUAUUCUUUGGCAAAAAUUGUUGCUAGCGAUCUAUUAGAUGAAAGUAUGAAACCCGAAGAAAGUUCUGUCUAGAGUUUAUGCUUUAUAAUUUAUAUACUGCCUCUAUUCACUAAGAAAGGAUGUCGCAUUUUUGACUAAAUUCCAACGUAUCUAGACACUCUUAGUGUAUAACUACAUCCAAAUGUAGACAAAUCUUGGACAUCUUUUUAUGGACUGAGGGAGUAUGUAUUUAUUUGUCAAAUUUUGAAGUCUCAUACAAAAAAAUCAUUUUUUCAAACGAGCAGAUAUAAUGGAUAGAUUUCUCAAAAAAAAAGCAUGAGAUGUCCGAGAGGAGCUGAAUUAGAAAGAGGAGAUUCAGUAUCCUUGAGUACUAUAUUUAAUGUCAUUCUACUACUUUCCACUUAAAAUUAAUUAUACUUUGUAUCUUGUAGGUUAUUGAGUUGCAUUUGAUGAUUUACUUAGAAUUUGGAAAUGGAAGAUAUAUUUUCAAAGUAACGGGCUCAUCAAUAUUGUAGGCCUUUUGAUUUUUAAAUACCAUUUUUUUUGUAUGUUCUUCAAGUAUGCAAUAUUAUAUAUGUUGUAAGCUAUAAAUCAUAUUUAUAUUUAGUAGAUUGUUGCUCGAUUUUUUUGUUAUAGUUAGUUGUGCGUCAGGGUCACUCGAGCUCCAGCUCUGCCCGCACACACACUUUCUUUGAUAUUAGGUAGAGAUAUGCAGAAUACAGACAACACAUUUUCUGGUAUAUAUUACCAAGUUCAUGCCUGCUGGUGAUCUACUGCACAUAUCUUAAUCACUAGAAACUAACGAGGUAUUCUUUUCAAUCUGAUUCUCAACUAUACUAAAUGAUAUGGCUGUAGUAUUCUCUCAGACUAUUUUUUUUUCAUUACAUUGUUUCUUAAAUUUGUUUCAAAUUUGGACUAAGUGUACUGGGCUGCUGUUACAAUUAGGGAAUCACUGUACAUAUGCCCACACUAUUAAAUGUAUGUAUUCCUCCGCAGUUCAUGUGUACUCUUAGUUGCCCCAUAUGUUUUCUAUCUACUACAAUGCAUUCGGUACUGUCAGGUAAUGAAUUAGUAAAGGCCUUAGGUGGCAUUGUUGUGCAAAACUGCAGUAAUCCAACCCAACAAAAAAGUUUUGAGUGUGUCCUCUGAACUUCUUUUAAUCAAGAUCUGUCGUGCAGCUCAGGAGAAUCCCGACGGAGAACAAGAGGGCGCUAAUGGAGAAGCCAAUCAUGACCCCGCGGAGGAGCUAAGCCGCAGAAGAUCUACAUGUCUGAAGCCAGUUGUAGGUUUGUUAUGAUGCUCUUCCGAACUAAGGCGCCCAGCUUCACGUCGGCCAUCACCACACAUGUGCCCUGCACUGUCAGAGCUAGAAUUUCUGAAAAUGACUCUCAUAUUACUUUGCAUAGAAAGCAUUAGCAUCGAUGAGACGCUAAUCAUACCUACAUUAUUGUUAUCUUGGCAACCAGAAGCAUGGUGGCAGAUCGCAACUACGAUGAGUUCAUCAGCGUUGAGACCUUGCAGAGCUCAGGAGAAUCCCGACGGAGAACAAGAAGGCGCUGAUGGAGAAGCCAAUCAUGACCCCACGGAGGAGCUAACCCGCAGAAGAUCUACAUGUCUGAAGGCAGUUGUAGCAGGAUGUUUCCAAAAUGAUAACUUCCGGAUGGAACGACAUUUCCGACGAGAUAUCUAGCAGAUCAAAGUCCAGCAAUCUUUCUGCCAAACCAAAAGUAGAGACUAAGGUUGAUUUCUCCUCAGUUCAUCUAAAAAAUGGCACCUGAAAAAGAGGUUUUGGCAAAGUUCACUGGUGACCAGCAAAUACACGCAGAAAAUGCAAACGGUCGUGCAUCUUUAUUCUGCAAGUUGGAUCGUGGGAGUUAGGAAGACAUGAAGGUGAACUGUGCAGGGCAAGUCAUCUGGGAAAUCAACAAUCUCCAAGAACCUGAUUAUAGCAUACAAGUUGGACCUCAAGGAGGAAAGGAGACACAUGUGCUAGGGACGUGAGAUGUGUUAGAUGGCAGCACCACCUGCCUUGGGCAGGAAAUUCACCCACGGCAGUACAAGUGAUAUCAUCUCUGUUUUUUCUAAUAUUUUGUUGAAAAUUUUCUUAAAGAGUGACAUGAUGAUAUUGAUCUGUUCAUUGAUGCUCUGGUUUAAAAAUAAACUGAUUGUAAUUCUACUACCACUAAUUAAGGUAACUCAGUAUUAUCA